rnacentral:rRNA from 1 species
AUGGCUAGUCCUCCUAUCCUUGUUAUUACUCCCGAACAUGAAAUUCUUAAUUUUAAGCAAAGGGAGGGAGAAAAUUUAAAAGAUGCUUGGCAUAGAAUUUGCAAUGCUCAAAAUAAAUCUACUAGGAAGCUUUCUACUUCUGUUCUUCUUCACAAUUUUUAUGUAGGCAUUACUCCUUGGAAUAGAUGCAUUCUUGACACCAUUACCAGAGGAGAUUUCUUGAGUAGCCAUACGUUUGAUGCUUAUAAUGCUAUGUUAGAUUUGUUUGGCCCACCACCUCAUUUGGUUAAUGGAACUGUUUUAACUUUGGAACAUGUGAUGCAAAGGCUUGAAAUUAUUGAAAAUAAAGUUGCUACUGUUGAGAUGAUUGAAAAUUUGGAUAAAAAGAUUCAUAAUCAAAUUACCCAAUAUGUAUCUAGGGUUGGAGUUACUUUGAAUUUUUUUAAAGAAAAAGAACCUAUAGCUAAUGAAAAAAUAGAUCUAGAAUCUACGAGAAUCGAUAAACUUGAGGAUAUCAUUAGCAACUUAGGGUCGGUGUUUUCUUCCGUGAAAAACACUCCAAAUCUUCCUACAAAAACUGCCAAACACUACAAAAACACUCCAAAUAAGGGUGAAUCUUCUAGUAAGGGAAAUGCGGAUCUCAAAUCACUAAGUGUUCAUCCCAAUUGUCUCGCUAUCAUUAAGGAACCUUUUGCUACAAAUGAAUUUCUUGAAUUCUUGCCUAAGGGUUUAAUAUUGCUAAAAAGGGGGAAACCCCUAAAGAUUAUAAGUGCUCUCUUGAGGAAUUGA